CAAGUGCCUUAUGGCCUGAUGGAUUUUAUUUUCCAUCCAGAAAACAUUGUUUCCCUCUUAGUUAAGCUUCUUGUGAAUGAUCAUGUUUUUAUGAGACUUAAUACCUUCAAGCCAAGGAGAAGCUCCAAACAUUUCAUGAACUACAACCUGGAGGCAGAUAAGCUUCAAGCGAUGGGUUGCUCAUCCCACUUACUUGCUUUUUAGGGCAGAAGCAACCAAACAGGUCUGCGAAGGAAAUGUGCUGAGCUCUCAGCUUCCCUGUUGGUAGAUUACCUACCAUUGUUCUGGUGGAAUAACGUGACCUAAUAUUCCUCCUCUAUCUCUCAUCUUGGUGAGCUCUGCCUUGUGAACACCCUAGGGACCAGGAUCGAGAAGUGAACUGGGAGCUAAGUUAUCUUCUGAUGUGGUUUUAUCAACUGGAUCAUCUACCCACCAGUAACCCAUGUGUGAAAGGGAAUUUUUGGAGAAGAAAAUUAGGAAUGAAUAUGUUUGAGAAUUUUCUGUAUUGAAUAUCUAUAGGGCAGGGGAGGAAGAAAAAAAUCUUAGAAGCCAGGAUGCUGUAAAGGCAGAUGUUUUGGGUUUUAUUUUAUUAGAUUUCCUAGUGGCUUGUUGCUGUCUGUCCAAAGUUUGUGCUAGUCUGUUUAUACUCUUAAAAAACAGUGCAGUGAUUCUGCACUGAUCUGAUUUUGGUGGGUGAGCUAAAUGUAAUUCAAAUAUGUUAGUCCAAAUUAGUGGUGUUGAUACAUUUUUUAAAAACUUCUGAACAUUCUGUUCCGGCACUUUGUGCAGUCACAAGCUCUCUCAGAAGUUUUGCAGAAAUACUGCUUGAGAAUGAGGAAGAACUUGACCUGACCAGCACGGCUUUAUCCUAGAAGAUGCCAUACCAGUGACGAGAAGGGGUUCUUUCCAGCUAGGUGGGAAAUUGCAGCUCUGAAGAAAGUCACCACAACGCUUCUUUCCCCUGCCAUUCGAGUUGGUAGAAAAGAUCUGCAUAAUUACUAAGUCUCACAGCCAUCAAUGUACUCAUAGGGUUAUUUUCCAACCUAGGAAGUCCAGUUAGGUGGAAAAUAUUCCUUUGAUUUAUGGCCCUGAGAUAGUCAGCUCAUAAAUUAAUGUUUCCAUUGGCAGCUUCAGUAUAUGCCUUUUACAUCUGAAGGCUGCAGGUAGCAGACAGUGACAGGAAGGCAUCAGACUAAGAUGUGUAAAACAUACAGAAACUGUGUUUAUUUUCCAUGUCUCAAGUGAGAAGGCAUUUCGCUAUGAGUGUUAUACUGUGGCUUUUUAAAUGCUUUAUUAUUUGCAGACAUGACUUGAAAAUUAUUGAAAGCAAGAUUUCUGGGUGACAGCAAUUGGUUAGAAGAGGUAAACAAUGAAGAGCAAUGCAGUUAAGACACAGAAGGUCUUAGAUCAUUUUAAAUAAUUGGGCAAAAAGAUGACAAAUUCAGUUCGGUGCAGAUAAAUGUAGAAUAAUGAGCCUCAGAACAAAGAAUAUAAAGAAAAAAAUUUUUAAGUAGGAGAAUGCCACAGCUUACUGACUAGCAAAGAGAUCUGGGGAGCUAAUGGAGAGAAAUCUCCUUAAUGAUCAGGAUAUAACUGCUCCUGAAUGGGUGGAGUCACAGAGGAAUAAGAAAAGAGUCAAGAAUUGAAUUUUUCAUAGACAUAAAGCUCUCUUAGGUUAUCUUGUCCAUCCUCUUGCAUCAGCUGAGACAAUUCUUUCUGCAAAGAACCCUAUUAUGUUGAAUUAUGAGGACUGUCAAGGUGAUUUAUAAGAGAGAUUUAGUUAGAGUGUGAACAUUUUUGCUAGCCAACACAAAACCAGGAAUGUUUUGGAUGAAAUUCUGACCUCACUGACGCAGAUGUAAAUAAAAUCACCUGUGAAAUUUCCAGCAGAAUCUCUCAUGCUGUGUGGAAGUAUAUAUGUUCUUAUUUAUUGUUACAACUGGAAUUUUAUUCCAGGCUUUGCAGUACUGGGAUUGUAGCUACAGCGGCAGCUAAGACAGUGCAGAAUUUGGUGCAGAUGGAUUUUCUGCCAGGGAAAUUCAGAAGCCCAAACUGACUUAAGGCUGUUGACUGGAAUCCUACCUCGCCUCUUUCAUGACUGCUGCAUGGUGAUUCAGUUCAGAUGUUGAUCUGAAUAAAAGGUUAUCUGCUUUCUCAGCAGACCCACUGACUUCAGAAGGUACUAUUGGAGAGUUGGAGUUGACUCUUGCAGUAAGAAUAUAAACAUGAAAGGCAAGAAUAGAAGACCAAAAUUGUUCUCUGCUGCUGGAAUCUGCACUGAAGUCCAUCUGGGAUCCAGAUCUGGUUGUGAUUUUCCUCCAACGUCUGGUCAUGCACUUUGCAUUUAACAGGCACAGAAGCAGUCAGAGCAGCCCAGAGCUCCCUUUUCCCCAUGAAGUCAGAGCAGACCAUAGCCCUCUUGUGCCUUUACCUAAUGGAGCAAUGAAGGUUGUGCUCCUCUCUUCUUUUGACACAAGUGCUAAAGACCUUUUCUUCUGAAGCUCAGAGUUACAGACAUGGGUGAGAUACCUCUUGCUUUGAGGAAAGCACUGAUCCCAGCACUUCUGUUAAAUAACAUAGAAAUGACAACUAUGAGUGCUACAGGAUUGCUCUACAAUGGAAAGAAACCCCUGCUCAUGUCUUUUGGAGGAUGUGGGCCCAUGUUGCUUCUUCAGGGAGGAUUGGGGGGCUUUAAGACCUUCAGUUCUGAGAAGAGAGGGGAAUCCUCCCACUACUCUGUGCCAGGUGAAGAACUGAUGAAACAGCAUGCAGAAGAAUCCAGUCUCCCUGUGCAGUGCUACAGGGAAUCAGCACUGACUGCUGGAUCUUGGAUCUCAGAUGUCUGGGAUCCUGCAUACCAGGGAUUUUGGGAGAGAUGGACAUGGAAAGUGGAGAGGAGAGGAAAGAGGAAAACCCCUGAUCCACCAAAGGUUUUCCACUGCAAAGUGUGAUAAACUUCAACAGAGGUGAUGGAUGGAGCUGCUCCCUCACCUUUUCCAAAGGGUAGAAGUCAUGAAGGUGCUUUUAUGGACAGCAGACAUGAGCUCCAGUGUUUCUUUUCUCAGGCAGAAAAGAGAAAUGAACACAGACUUCCAGCCUUCAUAUUUCACAAAAAAUGGGGAAGUGAACUAAAUGGAGCAGCUGAAGAAAACGACAGAUGUAACCCAGUGCAAGAGCACCCAGGGCUCCAUCCUGCUCACUCAGCCUAGGUAACUUUACUGUGUUUUUCCUCUCAAAAAACUCUGCAUUUUUGAAUUGUCAUGUAUGUUUUCAUUCCCAUUGCUGCCAGUGGGCAAGGAGACAACCAGAGAAACAAACUGGACCCAGCCAUGCUUCUGGUUGAGUGCUUGCACAUCUGCUGUUUUUCUGAUUCAAUGAUGGGUGGUGUUGGUCUAUGUCCUCUCUAUUAUGUACCAUGAAAAAUUUUCUGGCAACUGAAUCACUAAUACAUAUUUAAUUUAAUUUUAUUUCAUUUCAGGUCUUGCAACUGCACUUCUCAGAAAAGCUGUCCAUGUGGGGGAAGGUGUGCAAUAACCUGAUUUAUACAUGUGUUCAAUAGAUAGCAAUAGUAAAAGUUUCUGGUUCACACAGGUGAACAUUUCUGUGCAGGUUCUGCAGGUGGUGCUUCAUCCUUUCCAGUACAACAUUUCAGUAGUGUUAAGCCCCUCUGGAGACUCUCACAUUUUUUUCUAUGCAAAGAAAAUGUUCCACUAACUGAAGAAAUAUCAGAGCUCUGUAGGUGCAAGAAAGACAUCAAUCCUCUGUCAUCAGGGACAGAAGCCAUAAUUUACCAUUUUCAGGGGCCUACAGGAAAGCUGGAGAGGGACUUCUGACAAGGUCAGGGAGUGAUAGGACAAGGGGAAAUGGCUUUAAACUGAAAGAGGGCGGGUUAAGAUUGGGAAGAAAUUCUUCCCUGUGAGGGUGGUGAAGCACUGGAAGAGGUUGCCCAGAGAAGCUGUGGAUGCCACAUCGCUGGAAUUGUUCAAGGCUAGGUUGGAUGGGCCUUGGAGCAACCUGGAAUAGUGAAACAUGUCCCUGCUCAUGGCAGGGGGUUGGAACAAGAUGAUCUUUCAACUUCCUUCUAACCCAAACCAUUAAAUGAUUCUGUGAUUAUGUGGAAUCAACAAACAAGAAUAACCACUGGGUCAAGAUUAGGCCUAACUAAAUGAAGGAAAUUUUGCAGGGCCUAGACAGAAGAUGCUUGGCCUAUGAAGAUUCGGAAAUGUUUGAGCAUGUGCAGAGCAGGCUUUUAUUUUACUUAGGAGCGAUGUUUUGAGAGUGGAAUAAUACUUUCCUUGAAAACAUAACUGUGCUGCUCCGUAGGGGUCAAAAAUACAAAUCAGAUUUUGGAAAAAGGAGUUGACGUCAUAAAAGAGAACUUUGUCCUGUCUAUGUGACUCCACAUUGCUAACAUCCUUAUGGCUGUAUGGAAUUGUGUCCCGUCUGUCUCAAAAACGUACAGUAGAACUGAAUGUCAUGGAAAGGGUGACACAGCAAGGGAUAACUGUUUAAGGCGUGAUUAGAAGACUAAGAGUCUUCUCCCUCAAAAGGGAACAGCAGAGGAGGAAUUUUAAAGAAGCCUUUUAAAACCUGAGUGGUAUGGAAAAAAUGAUAGUUUACUUCAUGUCCUCUUUCAAUACAAGGGCUAGGGCAUAAUAAUGAAACUAUCGGGCUGCAGAUUGCAGGUCCAGAGCAAACAAGAGGAUGCAAUCCCUUGUGUAAUGUAUAAUUAGGUUUUGAAAUUUCUUCCCAGGGGAUGCUGUAGAUGCUAAAAGUUUACGUGGGUUCAAGAAGCGAUUAGGCAGAUUCAUAGAAGAAAAUAUAUGCUAAGAACUAUUAAAUGCAUGCACACAAUGCCUGACUCAGGAAUUCCUAGAUGACAAUUCACAGAAGCUGGGCAAUGUUAGCACAUUCUGACUUAAUUCUUUCUCUUUCUUAGGAAUUCUCUUCUGGCCAAUGUCAGGGAUGGCAUAAUGAGCAGAAGGAAAUUUGGGAUCCACCUGAAAAAGCUGUUGCCUCAUGAAAAGACGUGGACUUGUGAAGUGGUGUAGAUGUGAGAAAGAUAAGAUGAAUGUGGAGCAGAAGAAGGAGACACAGGACAAUGAUGAUCCACUAAUGAGAAAUGCAGAAGUACCAGGUCAGGUCUCAGAGCACUGCUUACUUCUGCUUGAGUUGGAAAUCACAAAAAAAUACACUGCAAGCCCUUCAGAAUUCUUGGUAGCAUUGUGAAUACACAGUCUAAUAGAUUAAUGCUUUACUGCAAUUUUUGGAGCUCAGCUAAAGGCAUAAUUCAAAGACCCUGAUGUUUAGGUGGUAAGUAGUCCCAUCCCUGUUCAAUAAUGUCACGAAGUCCAGGAGUAAACAGGAUCCUGUGAGGAAAUUCAGUUGAAAAGAGUUCACAUCCAGAUGUUUGUGGGAUCCAUAUAUCCAAUGAAGAAGUUUUACUGAGUUUCUUUUUUUGUUGUUCUGUUUUUAUCUCUCUUUUAGAUCACAGUGCAACCUGUGAGUCCCAGAAUACAA